rnacentral:rRNA from 1 species
AAAUUGAAGAGUUUGAUCAUGGCUCAGAUUGAACGCUGGCGGCAGGCCUAACACAUGCAAGUCGAACGGUAACAGGAAGCAGCUUGCUGCUUCGCUGACGAGUGGCGGACGGGUGAGUAAUGUCUGGGAAACUGCCUGAUGGAGGGGGAUAACUACUGGAAACGGUAGCUAAUACCGCAUAACGUCGCAAGACCAAAGAGGGGGACCUUCGGGCCUCUUGCCAUCGGAUGUGCCCAGAUGGGAUUAGCUAGUAGGUGGGGUAACGGCUCACCUAGGCGACGAUCCCUAGCUGGUCUGAGAGGAUGACCAGCCACACUGGAACUGAGACACGGUCCAGACUCCUACGGGAGGCAGCAGUGGGGAAUAUUGCACAAUGGGCGCAAGCCUGAUGCAGCCAUGCCGCGUGUAUGAAGAAGGCCUUCGGGUUGUAAAGUACUUUCAGCGGGGAGGAAGGCGAUAAGGUUAAUAACCUUGUCGAUUGACGUUACCCGCAGAAGAAGCACCGGCUAACUCCGUGCCAGCAGCCGCGGUAAUACGGAGGGUGCAAGCGUUAAUCGGAAUUACUGGGCGUAAAGCGCACGCAGGCGGUCUGUCAAGUCGGAUGUGAAAUCCCCGGGCUCAACCUCGGGAACUGCAUUCGAAACUGGCAGGCUAGAGUCUUGUAGAGGGGGGUAGAAUUCCGGUGUAGCGGUGAAAUGCGUAGAGAUCUGGAGGAAUACCGGUGGCGAAGGCGGCCCCCCUGGACAAAGACUGACGCUCAGGUGCGAAAGCGUGGGGAGCAAACAGGAUUAGAUACCCUCGGUAGUCCACGCCGUAAACGAUGUCGACUUGGAGGUUGUGCCCUUGAGGCGUGGCUUCCGGAGCUAACGCGUUAAGUCGACCGCACCGGGGAGUACGGCCGCAAGGUUAAAACUCAAAUGAAUUGACGGGGGCCCGCACAAGCGGUGGAGCAUGUGGUUUAAUUCGAUGCAACGCGAAGAACCUUACCUACUCUUGACAUCCAGAGAACUUUCCAGAGAUGGAUUGGUGCCUUCGGGAACUCUGAGACAGGUGCUGCAUGGCUGUCGUCAGCUCGUGUUGUGAAAUGUUGGGUUAAGUCCCGCAACGAGCGCAACCCUUAUCCUUUGUUGCCAGCGGUCCGGCCGGGAACUCAAAGGAGACUGCCAGUGAUAAACUGGAGGAAGGUGGGGAUGACGUCAAGUCAUCAUGGCCCUUACGAGUAGGGCUACACACGUGCUACAAUGGCGCAUACAAAGAGAAGCGACCUCGCGAGAGCAAGCGGACCUCAUAAAGUGCGUCGUAGUCCGGAUUGGAGUCUGCAACUCGACUCCAUGAAGUCGGAAUCGCUAGUAAUCGUGGAUCAGAAUGCCACGGUGAAUACGUUCCCGGGCCUUGUACACACCGCCCGUCACACCAUGGGAGUGGGUUGCAAAAGAAGUAGGUAGCUUAACCUUCGGGAGGGCGCUUACCACUUUGUGAUUCAUGACUGGGGUGAAGUCGUAACAAGGUAACCGUAGGGGAACCUGCGGUUGGAUCACCUCCUUA